rnacentral:rRNA from 1 species
CCUACGGGCCGCAGCAGUGGGGAAUAUUGCACAAUGGGCGCAAGCCUGAUGCAGACAUGCCGCGUGUGUGAAGAAGGCCUUCGGGUUGUAAAGCACUUUCAGCGGGAAGGAAGGCGCCAAGGUUAAUAACCUUGGCGAUUGACGUUACCCGCAGAAGAAGCACCGGCUAACUCCGUGCCAGCAGCCGCGGUAAUACGGAGGGUGCAAGCGUUAAUCGGAAUUACUGGGCGUAAAGCGCACGCAGGCGGUCUGUCAAGUCGGAUGUGAAAUCCUCGGGCUCAACCUGGGAACUGCAUUCGAAACUGGCAGGCUAGAGUCUUGUAGAGGGGGGUGGAAUUCCAGGUGUAGCGGUGAAAUGCGUAGAGAUCUGGAGGAAUACCGGUGGCGAAGGCGGCCCCCUGGACAAAGACUGACGCUCAGGUGCGAAAGCGUGGGGAGCAAACAGGAUUAGAUACCCGAGUAGUC